rnacentral:lncRNA from 1 species
UUUAUUCCAAAGCAUUCUCACUUACAGUGAUCUUCAUCUCUGUAGGAUCUGYCCAGCCUAAAAAAGUUUUCUUGGUGUAUUUAUAUUGAAUGUAAACUGGCGGAAGUAUGAAUACAGCUUCAGCAGUGCUUGAAAUGAAAACAAUUUGUGGAGAAGGAAGAGAUUUUCUUUGCUGUUACACAUUCUUGAAUUGCACUUCAGUGAUCAGCAACAGAUACAGUGAACAUGAUGUCGAAGUGCUCAGGAAUUGAUAAGACUUUGUGCACCAACACACAACUUCCAGCACCAGCCUGCYGGGUCAAAAUGGGGAUUAGCAAAGY